rfam:Schistosoma curassoni strain Dakar, Senegal genome assembly, scaffold: SCTD_scaffold0001175
AUCCAGCUGACGAGUCCCAAACAGGACGAAAUGCGCGUCCUGGAU